rnacentral:rRNA from 1 species
UUUGAUGGCGACCGGCGCACGGGUGAGUAACACGUAUCCAACCUGCCGAUGACUCGGGGAUAGCCUUUCGAAAGAAAGAUUAAUACCCGAUGGCAUAGUUCUUCCGCAUGGUGGAACUAUUAAAGAAUUUCGGUCAUCGAUGGGGAUGCGUUCCAUUAGGUUGUUGGCGGGGUAACGGCCCACCAAGCCUUCGAUGGAUAGGGGUUCUGAGAGGAAGGUCCCCCCACAUUGGAACUGAGACACGGUCCAAACUCCUACGGGAGGCAGCAUG